UGGGAGGUCUUGAUUGCUAGACAUGUUGCGAGAUUUCUAAUUUAGCCUAACAGCUUAUGGAGUAUGAUGAUGCAGGCCAAAAAUAUCGAUUGGAUCUCGGAGGAGGAUGUUCACAUUGGCUAGAGGAGUUCCUUCAUGUGGGAGGAGAUAUGCACUCAUGCCUCUGACAUGAUGGCUCAAAUAAGUUGGGUUAUUGGUGACAGGCGAUGACUG
rnacentral:lncRNA from 1 species